UACUGAAAGAAGUGGAUUGCUGGAUUC
rnacentral:piRNA from 1 species